rnacentral:rRNA from 1 species
AAACGGGUGAGUAACACGUUGAUAACCUGCCUCAAAGACGAGAAUAGUCCCCUGAAAAGGGGUUUAAUACUCGAUAGUCCUACAUCAUUUCGGUGUUUGUAGGUAAAGCUCCGGCGCUUUGAGAGGGGUCUGCGUCCUAUCAGCUAGUUGGUGAGGUAAAAGCUCACCAAGGGUAAGACGGGUAGCUGGUGUGAGAGCAUGACCAGCCACAAUGGAACUGAGAACGGUCCAUACUCCUACGGGAGGCAGCAAUUAGGAAUCUUGCGCAAUGGGGGCAACCCUGACGCAGCGACACCGCGUGGAGGACGAAGGUCUUCGGAUUGUAAACUCCUUUUAUAUGGGAAGAAUAACUGACUGUACCAUAUGAAUAAGUACCUGCUAACUACGUGCCAGAAGCAUCGGUGAUACGUAGGGUGCAAACGUUAUCCGGAUUUAUUGGGCGUAAAGAGAUGCGUAGGCGUCUUGGUAAGUCAUGUGUUAAAGCCUCCCGCUUAACGGGAGAAAGGCAUUUGAUACUGCCAGGAUUGAGGCAGAGAGAGGUGAAUGGAAUUCCCGGUGGAGUGGUGAAAUACGUUGAUAUCGGGAGGAACACCAGAAGCGAAGGCGAUUCACUGGCUCUGUUCUGA